rnacentral:rRNA from 1 species
CAGCCGCCGCGGUAAUACGUAGGUGGCAAGCGUUGUCCGGAUUUAUUGGGCGUAAAGCGAGCGCAGGCGGAAAAAUAAGUCUAAUGUGAAAGCCCUCGGCUUAACCGAGGAACUGCAUCGGAAACUGUUUUUCUUGAGUGCAGAAGAGGAGAGUGGAACUCCAUGUGUAGCGGUGGAAUGCGUAGAUAUAUGGAAGAACACCAGUGGCGAAGGCGGCUCUCUGGUCUGCAACUGACGCUGAGGCUCGAAAGCAUGGGUAGCGAACAGGAUUAGAUACCCUGGUAGUCCAUGCCGUAAACGAUGAGUGCUAAGUGUUGGGAGGUUUCCGCCUCUCAGUGCUGCAGCUAACGCAUUAAGCACUCCGCCUGGGGAGUACGACCGCAAGGUUGAAACUCAAAGGAAUUGACGGGGGCCCGCACAAGCGGUGGAGCAUGUGGUUUAAUUCGAAGCAACGCGAAGAACCUUACCAGGUCUUGACAUCUAGUGCAAUCUGUAGAGAUACGGAGUUCCCUUCGGGGACGCUAAGACAGGUGGUGCAUGGCC